rnacentral:rRNA from 1 species
AUACGGAGGAUGCGAGCGUUAUCCGGAUUUAUUGGGUUUAAAGGGAGCGUAGGUGGGAUAUUAAGUCAGCUGUGAAAGUUUGGGGCUCAACCUUAAAAUUGCAGUUGAUACUGGUUUCCUUGAGUACGGUACAGGUGGGCGGAAUUCGUGGUGUAGCGGUGAAAUGCUUAGAUAUCACGAAGAACUCCGAUCGCGAAGGCAGCUCACCGGGCCGGAACUGACACUGAUGCUCGAAAGUGCGGGUAUCAAACAGGAUUAGAUACCCUGGUAGUCCGCACAGUAAACGAUGAAUACUCGCUGUUUGCGAUACACUGUAAGCGGCCAAGCGAAAGCGUUAAGUAUUCCACCUGGGGAGUACGCCGGCAGCGGUGAAACUCAAAGGAAUUGACGGGG